UCAUACCACAUCGAAUCAGCUUCUGACCAAAGAUACUUUUCCAUUGCAGCACGACGAGCACGAGCACGACGAUCCCAAAUGGCAGAAGUUUCUAUAGUUCCGUUUGGAAGUACAAACUUGUCAUCGAAAUAUUCUAAAAUCACAUGUGAGAUGUCGGUUUCAUAUUUGUAUAGCAACGAGUUCAGAUCCACGGUGGCCAAGUCAGCACAAACUUUUUCCAACCGAUAAGUAGUAUCAUGCCCGCUUUCGCGAACUGCGCGGUCGUGCACGAAAUACUCAUCCAACGCGGGUUCAUGAAUUUGUUGGUAAUUGUAUGCAUGAGUAAACUCCUCAAGAGUCAUAUGAUACUUCUCCAUGUAAGGACGAAGCAAAUGCUCAAAAUGAGAAGCUUCAGUUUCCGGAGGAAUAC